UACAAAGGUCUCAAGCGUUGUUCGGAUUCAUUGGGCGUAAAGGGUGUGUAGGUGGCGCCGUAAGUCGGGUGUGAAAUUUCGGAGCUUAACUCCGAAACUGCAUUCGAUACUGCGGUGCUUGAGGACUGGAGAGGAGACUGGAAUUCAUGGUGUAGCAGUGAAAUGCGUAGAGAUCAUGAGGAAGACCAGUGGCGAAGGCGGGUCUCUGGACAGUUCCUGACACUGAGACACGAAGGCCAGGGGAGCAAACGGG
rnacentral:rRNA from 1 species